AUUGAACGCUAGCGGGAUGCCUUACACAUGCAAGUCGAACGGAGUGGCGAACGGGUGAGUAAUGUAUCGGAACGUGCCCAGUAGCGGGGGAUAACUACGCGAAAGCGUAGCUAAUACCGCAUACUAUUGGAGCGGCCGAGAUCGGAUUAGCUAGUUGGUGGGGUAACGGCUAACCAAGGCGACGAUCCGUCGCUGGUUUGAGCGGACGACCGGCCACACGGGGACUGAGAAACGGCCCAGACUCCUACGGUAGGCAGCAGUGGGGAAUUUUGGAGAAUGGGGGAAACCCUGAUCCAGCACUCCCGCGUGUGCGAUGAAGGCCUUCGGGUUGUAAAGCACUUUGGUCAGGAAAGCGGUACCUGCAGAAUAAGCACCGGCUAACUACGUGCCAGCCGCCGCGGUAAUAC
rnacentral:rRNA from 1 species